GAUGAACGCUGGCGGCAUGCCUAAUACAUGCAAGUCGAACGAGAGGAAGGAAAGCUUGCUUUUCUGAAUCUAGUGGCGAACGGGUGAGUAACACGUAGGUAACCUGCCCAUGUGCCCGGGAUAACUUCUGGAAACGGAUGCUAAAACCGGAUAGGUAGCAGACAAGCAUUUGACUGCUAUUAAAGUGGCUAAGGCCAUGAACAUGGAUGGACCUGCGGUGCAUUAGCUAGUUGGUGAGGUAACGGCCCACCAAGGCGAGGAUGCAUAGCCGGCCUGAGAGGGCGGACGGCCACAUUGGGACUGAGACACGGCCCAAACUCCUACGGGAGGCAGCAGUAGGGAAUUUUCGUCAAUGGGGGGAACCCUGAACGAGCAAUGCCGCGUGAGUGAGGAAGGUCUUCGGAUCGUAAAGCUCUGUUGUAAGAGAAAAACGACAUUCAUAGGGAAUGAUGAGUGAGUGAUGGUAUCUUACCAGAAAGUCACGGCUAACUACGUGCCAGCAGCCGCGGUAA
rnacentral:rRNA from 1 species